GAGUCAUGUGUCUUUGGGAACAGGCGCGUAUCCUUUGGACUUAGACCUCCAUCUUGAAUUUAGGGAUUUCAAUAAAAUAUUUCAUGUGUUUGGAUAACUUAUCUUUCUAAUUGCCACUAAACAACGUCAACCUAAACAACAGCAUCAUAUUGACGAGGAUGUUGCUAAUAAAAUGGUGCUCAUCGUUCAUGUGUUUGGAUAACUUAUCUUUCUAAUUGCCACUAAACAACGUCGACCUAAACAACAGCAUCAUAUUGACGACGAGGGUUGAUGGUGAUUUGGAUACCGGAACUUUUACCGGAAGUUGGGGAGAACAUUUAUGUGAUGCUGUCGACAGCUACUUUACACGCCAUCAUCGAGUGGACCCAUCAUCAAGUCCACCCAUAAUCGAGUGGACCCAUCAUCGAGUGGACCCAGCAAGUGGACCCCUCAUCAAGUCGACCGAUUCGCGAGCCGGCCCAUCAUCAAGUGGACCCUUCAUAUAGUCUACCCAUCAUCAAGUGGACCCAUCAUCGAGUGGACCCAGCAAGUGGACCCAUCAUCAAGUGGACCCAUCAUCGAGUGGACCCAUCGAGUGGACCCAUCAUGGGCAGAUCUCCUGCAAGAGAACUCGGCUUAAGGACUUUAAGGUUGUACCACCUUUAUUUGGACAAAGCGUCUACAGGACCAGUACAAGAAAGCAAAUGUUUCUACCUCCCUACUCGACCAUUACAAAAAAAGCAGCUGUUUCUAUGUUGACCCAUGUCAUUGAUGCAAACAUCAUUUUUUUAAAAUCAGUUUGAGAACCUUUGGUCACUAGGAAGGCACUGAUUAAACGUAUCGUAUUUUUUUUUGACUUGCUUCACAAGAUUUUUGUUUGAAAUAAAAAUAAAACUACUGUAUAAUCAUAAUCUUUUAAGCGCAAUGAGAAUAAGAAUAAUUAUACAUAAACAACCUUGCUAUUUACACAAUUUAAUAAACCUUACAGUUU